rnacentral:lncRNA from 1 species
UUGAAUGUCCCUCUUUUGUAUGCUUAGUAUUGCCAUGGAUAGUAUUUGAUAGCUCAGACAGAGGCACAUGUACCAUUGAUGUACAAGUACAAUGACCCCAACACCAAGCAACAAUACAAAUUCCUUCCUACACAAGUAAUAUCCAAAUUUGCAAACCCUAUCUUACCAAAUCCUAAUAUUCCAUGCAACAUUGUUUCCAGAUUAUAGGAAUGUUGCAGCUGGAUUACUAACGGUCUCAGCAGACCCUUUCCAAUUGCAGAACUCUGCCCUUAAAUGGAAGUACCCACGAAAGAAGACAGAAAUUGCGCAGCUGCAAAGAUAACUAGACAACUGAGUUUCACCGCCAUUCUCAAAACAGGAAACCUUAAAACCAAAUUCUUCAGACGCAAUCGAUAACAAGGAAACCAUUCUUCAACAUAAAUAUGACCACCAUUCUCAAGAAGCAAAAGCAUCAUUCUAACUGUAACCAUGGAGAAAGUACUAGUACUGAGAAUGGUUACCUACGUUCUGAUAGCUGUUUCUUUCUGUGCUUUCUUCGACUGCUGCUGCUGCACCCACACACAUGGAGGAGAGGUUUAACAAAUGGAUGGCGAAAUACAACAGGACAUACAAGAGCGGAGACGAGUAUUUGAGUCAUUUCCAGAUAUACCAGUCAAAUCUUCGUCUCAUUCAGCGUGUCAAUUCUCUGAAUCAGUCAUACUAGCUGACUGAUAGCAAGUUUGCUGACUUGACUCAUGAGGAGUUCAAAUCAAUGUACCUUCGU